GCCUAACACAUGCAAGUCGAACGGUAACGACGGGAGCUUGCUCCCGGGCGACGAGUGGCGGACGGGUGAGUAAUACUUGGGAAUCUGCCCAGUAGUGGGGGACAACAUUCGGAAACGGAUGCUAAUACCGCAUACGCUCUACGGAGGAAAGUGGAGGAUCUUCGGACUUCACGCUAUUGGAUGAGCCCAAGUCGGAUUAGCUUGUAGGUGGGGUAACGGCCUACCUAGGCGACGAUCCGUAGCUGGUCUGAGAGGACGAUCAGCCACACUGGAACUGAGACACGGUCCAGACUCCUACGGGAGGCAGCAGUGGGGAAUAUUGGACAAUGGGGGCAACCCUGAUCCAGCAAUGCCGCGUGUGUGAAGAAGGCCUGCGGGUUGUAAAGCACUUUCAGUGGAGAAGAAAGCCUACGGUUAAUACCCGUGAGUCUUGACGUAACCCACAGAAGAAGCACCGGCUAACUCCGUG
rnacentral:rRNA from 1 species